CCAUCAUGUUGGAGUUGCCACACUCCCGCGAAGGACGUGGGAAACACGCUUGGUAAGGGUAACUUAAUAUUCAUGGACAGAACUGGGGGGAUCAAAUGUUUGAGCUUUGGGUGUAACUGGCCGGGAUUCUCUGUUGGGAAGGGUUGUGAGAAAGUACGAGAUUACUUUAACAAAUAACAUGUUUGUGUAUGAAUAUUGCUGUUGAAGAAGCCUAACAUCUUCCUCUAGAAUGCGCCCCUUGCGCUUGAAGACAGAAGAUCAGUACUUCUCUUCCGUCGUGCUGGCGUGUCCUCAUGAUGCAGUCGUCGGACGGGAUUACCUCACUUACGAUGGCGAGAGAUAUGGCUUUAGGGAGUAGUUUGGUGGAGGAGAUUGCGGUGGCUGGAGGUCUCGUGUACAUUCUCGGUGGCCAGGCUGCUCCAAGUUUUUGUGGCGCGCGGGCACACACAUAUAUAGGGGCUAGUGAAAUACAUCAUAAACUGAUCCAGUGAAUCAAUUCUGAAUGUGGUUCUAUUUAUCAUCAAUUUUGCCCUGCCUCAACUAUUUUGAGUUUUGUACAUUGUACCUAAUAAUGAAUAAUCUGCAUUUUUAAUUUUUUUUUUUUUUAUCGGAAUUGCACUCGGAUAUACGAUAUACCUAGGCACUCUGUAUGAAACUUGUGCGUUGCUAUUGGCCCGUCCCUUUUCAAAACAGGGCGGGAAUUCUCUACAUUGAAAUCGAUUCAAUUUUGGUGUAAUUAAGAGACUUUAAGUCACUAACUACAAUUUAUGAACCAUUUCAAUCGUGACCUCUGUUCUAAAAUCUUGCGCAACAGUUUGAUUAGCAUGUAUGCCAAAUGCGGCUCCAUUUCCGGCGCCGAAUCGUUGUUCCGCUUGUUCUGAGCCGGACCCGGUUUCCUGUAAUAUCAUGGUUGCUGGGUAUGUGAAAUCUGUUGACUUGGACAAUGCACGCCAGAUGUUUGAUAAAAUGCCUAUGAGAGGUUGUGUCUCGUAUACUACUAUGAUAAUGGGUCUUUCUAGAAAUGGGUUUUGGAGGGAAGCUGUUGAGGCUUUUAGGGAUAUGAGGAAUGCCGGUGUGAUGCCGAAUCAGCUGAUAUCAAACUCAAUUCAAUAACAUUCAUCGGAGCCCUAAGUGCUUGUUGCCAUUCUGGUUUGGUGGAGGCCGGAGAGAGGUAUUUUAAGAGCAUUAUGGUUGAAAAGAAUGUAUACCACAUUCAACCAAACAUUAAGGAUUAUGGUUGUAUGGUGGAUCUCCUGGGUAGAGCACAUUAUUGGCCGCAAGUACAACACAAGGGAAUCUAGAAAUAGGAGAAAUGGCUGAAAAGAAUUUGAAACUGUUGGAUCCAUCUCAUGGGGCAAGUACGGUUCUCAUGUCCAACCUACUUGCAGAUGCAGGGAAAUGGGAGGAAGCCUCUUUGGAAAGGCGAGUAAUGCAGAGCCUAAGACUAACGAGAUCACCAGGGCACAGUGAUGUUGUUCAGUAAGGGUAACUUAAAUAUCGAGUUUGGUUUCUAAGAAUCCUGCUAGGAGAUAUGCUUAAGCUGGCAAGAAAAACCAACUUCGGUGGAUGGAAGGAACCGAAUUUUUCAUCCUGUCAGAUUACCUCCAAAGUCUAAGACAAGAUAUAUUCCAAGGUAGGUGAUCGAUUUAGCAACUCUUAUGCACAUCAAGGAAGGUUGCUUAACUUUGGUCCAGAGAUCAUCUGUGGGAAUGGGUCCACAGAUGCAGAUAUGCACACUCAAUGUGGUAUCCAGGUUCUCCGCAAAAGUUAUGUACUAAUCACUUUAGGGUAGUGUAGAAGCAAGCACAUAUGGUGGUGAACUCAUGAUUUCAACUGAAUUCUUCAUGAAGCUGACCAGGGACAAGAGAGAUGGAAAGAGUUAAAUAAACUGAUGUUGUCAGUGAGCCUCUAAACGUUGGCAGGCAUAUGAAUAUCCCUAAGUGGGUACGGGGGAGUACUGCAAAGUUAUUUUGGCUGAUAGCUAUUUCAAGAACUAAUCCAUGAGUUUGUAGGAUACCUACUCCCUUGUGUGGUUGCUUCCCUAAUUCCAAUUGUUGGUGGGGGUGGGACUGGCAUCGGUCUCAUAUAUAUCAUUAAUGCCCACAGAAAAAAUAGACAAGAAACCACAGCAUAUAGAAUUGAUCGAUGAAUGAAGUUGAUUCUGGGAAGAACAAGAGAGCCUGGGAGCAGUUAUUAGAAUUGAGAUGGGUGCUUUUGCAACACCAGUUAUAAGGUCUUUUUCCUUUGACAACAGAGUUUGAUCGCUAAAGCAGGUAUUCGAUUAGCCCUUGAAGUUGGAAUUCUACCCCUUGAAGUAGAGCCUGAUAGUAUGAAGGCUGGUAGCUUGGUAACCUCUAAUGACUUGUGUUGGGAGAAGAUAGGGGUAAUUGUGGACGAUAUUAAAUGCUGUUGAACUGUGGUGCACCCAAGGUCUGCUUCCAACCGAGGGAAUGCAGCAAAGUAUUUCAAGGAAUGUAUUGAUUUCUUUUGUAUUGAAAUUGGGUGGAAAGAAUUUCAACAAAGUUUGAGUUGCUUUAAAUUCUACCGUUAGAUGUAGAUCUAAGAGUGGUUGAGCAUAAUUUCUUUGCUCAUUUACUGAUUAGGGCAACACCACUGCUGAGUAGGGGAACACCACUUCUUUACUGCUUUAGGGUUUAUGGUCUUCCUCAAGAUCUAUUGAGCAAAUGCAUGUUAGAUCACAGGAGCGAGCAGAGAAGAGAAGGUGGCUAGCUGUAUGGGGACUUUGGGGAGAAUUUGGAGUGAUUAUAUACAAAGGCCCUCAAGUUCUAGAGCUUCCUAGAGGAACAAGGUGGCUAGCCCUACUCCUUGCUAAAAUCCCCAUUUACUCCUUGCUAAAUUUCAUGAAAUACUGUACUUCAACGAUAAAAAUUUAAAUAUUAGUUAAAUUUGUUAUAACCUUUAGCUUCAGAUUGUCUAUCAGUUGUAACAACUAUCAAGUUCCCUUACCUUUUGCAAUGGCAUUGCCUGAUUCUUCAGAAGCUAUCUGAUCGCUUGUAUUGUAUGGUCAGGACCUUUAGCUUCUCAAUUCUUGUGCUUGUAUUUGUAUGAGAAGGGAUUUCAAGAUAUGAAACUAGUGCUGAA